UUCUACGGCCAUGCUACCCUGAACAAGCAUGAUCCUGUCUGAUCUUGGAUGCUAAGCAGGGUUGGGCCUGGUUAGUACUUGAAUGGGAGACCAACUAGGAAGACCCGAUUCUGUAGGCG
rnacentral:rRNA from 1 species